GACGAACGCUGGCGGCGUGCUUAACACAUGCAAGUCGAACGGAAAGGCCCUGCUUUUGUGGGGUGCUCGAGUGGCGAACGGGUGAGUAACACGUGAGUAACCUGCCCUUGACUUUGGGAUAACUUCAGGAAACUGGGGCUAAUACCGGAUAGGAGCUCCUGCUGCAUGGUGGGGGUUGGAAAGUUUCGGCGGUUGGGGAUGGACUCGCGGCUUAUCAGCUUGUUGGUGGGGUAGUGGCGUACCAAGGCGUUGACGGGUAGCCGGCCUGAGAGGGUGACCGGCCACAUUGGGACUGAGAUACGGCCCAGACUCCUACGGGAGGCAGCAGUGGGGAAUAUUGCAGAAUGGGCGGAAGCCUGAUGCAGCAACGCCGCGUGCGGGAUGACGGCCUUCGGGCUGUAAACCGCUUUCGCCGGUGACGAAGCGUGAGUGACGGUAAUGGGUAAAGAAGCACCGGCUAAAUACGUG
rnacentral:rRNA from 1 species